rnacentral:tRNA from 1 species
GGUCCCUUAGCUCAGUUGGUUAGAGCACCUGACUCAUAAUCAGGGAGUCGUAGGAUCAUGCCCUACAGGGACCACCA